rnacentral:rRNA from 1 species
AGAGUUUGAUCAUGGCUCAGAACGAACGCUGGCGGCAUGCCUAACACAUGCAAGUCGAACGAGACCUUCGGGUCUAGUGGCGCACGGGUGCGUAACGCGUGGGAAUCUGCCCUUGGGUUCGGAAUAACAGCGAGAAAUUGCUGCUAAUACCGGAUGAUGACGUAAGUCCAAAGAUUUAUCGCCCAAGGAUGAGCCCGCGUAGGAUUAGCUAGUUGGUGAGGUAAAGGCUCACCAAGGCGACGAUCCUUAGCUGGUCUGAGAGGAUGAUCAGCCACACUGGGACUGAGACACGGCCCAGACUCCUACGGGAGGCAGCAGUGGGAAUAUUGGACAAUGGGCGAAAGCCUGAUCCAGCAAUGCCGCGUGAGUGAUGAAGGCCUUAGGGUUGUAAAGCUCUUUUACCCGGGAUGAUAAUGACAGUACCGGGAGAAUAAGCUCCGGCUAACUCCGUG